rnacentral:rRNA from 1 species
GUAGGUGGCAAGCGUUGUCCGGAAUUAUUGGGCGUAAAGCGCGCGCAGGCGGUCCUUUAAGUCUGAUGUGAAAGCCCACGGCUCAACCGUGGAGGGUCAUUGGAAACUGGGGGACUUGAGUACAGAAGAGGAAAGCGGAAUUCCAAGUGUAGCGGUGAAAUGCGUAGAGAUUUGGAGGAACACCAGUGGCGAAGGCGGCUUUCUGGUCUGUAACUGACGCUGAGGCGCGAAAGCGUGGGGAGCAAGCAGGGAUUAGAUACCCUGGUAGUCCACGCCGUAAACGAUGAGUGCUAAGUGUUAGGGGGUUUCCCGCCCCUUAGUGCUGCAGCUAACGCAUUAAGCACUCCGCCUGGGGAGUACGGCCGCAAGGCUA